CACACUUUUAGUUGCAUAUGGGAUUUAUGUGUUUUGAUUAGUUCUCAUCAAAACUGUUGCAGGUACCAUAUCUUUUGAAGAAAGUUUUUCAAUCAUUUUUAGCAUAGGAAGAAGAAGUUCUGGAAAAGCUUUAAAAAUAAGUUGUAAUUCUUUCUGGCUUGUACAGUGUUUAAUGCAGCAGGAAAAAGCUGAAAACUUGAUCCUUUGUAACUAUGUAAAAGACAUUUACUUGGUUGGUUGAAGUUGUGGGGCUUGGUAAAUGUCUGAUUCAGAAAUCCUUUCUGCUAGUUCUGUAAGCCCAUAUGCAUCUGUCACUUCUCAUUACAUAUAAUAUAAUCCUUAUAAGUCUUUUUUUUGCUUUUCUGUGACUUUUUUCUUUCUUUUGGCUUGAUCAAUAUUUAUUGCCCUCUGGCCUUGUUUGGCUUUAAGCUUUAGUAUUCAUAGGAUGAUGGGAUCAAUUCACCUCAGAAGAGAAUGAGAAUGCUCAGUAAAUGAGAUAAUAUGAAAGACUUGAAGUGCAGGUAUUAUGUGAUGUUCCGGCUUGAAGUGCAGGUAUUAUGUGAUGUUCCUUUCUUGGUUAUCUUUUUGAUAUAUGAAAGACUGUUGUCACCCCCAAACCUAAUGGCUUGAUGUGUUAUUCUUGAACUAGUUUCUCAAUGAAUUUUGUUCCAGGGGUUGGCUGUUGUUGCAAUAUUGAGGCACUUUAGAUACCCUUGCAGGUAUUAUGUAGAGUAAGGGCUACAUAGGAGGAAAGAUCGCUACAGAUAAAGGUUUGAAGCAUGUUAAAGUCUAGUGUGGUCAAAGUCGUAACUAGUAUCUUUUAUCUCCUAAGAUUCAAGUUUUGCCUUGUCCACAAUGUCUAAAUAGUUCAACUGUUGUCUUUAUGAACAAGAGAUAAGCUUAAUACUUUAUCUUAAUUGACAUGGAAGCAGAGCUCAGAGAAAUGGAUUUGCAGACAUGAUUUUUUACUUUAAAACAGAUAUUGAAAUGGUUGUAACUAUGAAUUGUAUUUUGGAUGAUGUUGAUGCAAUGAAACGUAGGCAUCAUUUUGAAUGCUGAUUUUAGUCCAA